AUUCGAACCUUGGACAUAACCAGAGUGCACGAAUUUGGACCUUGAUCGUGGUAGAGAUGCUUGGAGGUCGGCCGUAGCCGAUCUGUGGAAGGUCGAUCACAAAAAGCAAUUGUCCAAAUUGAGAAAGUCUAAAUAAGGAAGGAGUUUAUUAAAAUCAAAUCAUAUCCUAAAUAGAAACUAGCAACUAUUUCCACAUUGCAAAUGUGGAAACAAUUGCCACUAGCUUGAUCCACAUGCAAUAACUGGAUAGAUUAGGAGAAGUCCUAUGUAGAUCAUGAAAUUGAGUUUUAAAGAUCAUAGCUAUGGUAGUAUGAAUGACGGAAAGAAGUUUCCAUAAGAUUUCACAAAAGAACUCAAGUCGAUUGAAUCUUACAUAUGACAGAUGAGAGGUUUGAUGAGUUAUAAUUCAUAGCCUCCGUCUUGUCGAAACUCACGAUACAAGAAUCGAAUUAUACGGUAAUUGUACUUAGAGGUUUAUCUAUUCAAUUUUGUUAGAAUGCCACUACAUACUGCUAGAUGUCACUGGUGGAUUGUGAGACCAAUGAGAAUUAUUACGAUGAUCAAUUAUUCUCAAUUAGCUGAAUUGAAAGUGUUCCAAACUAUUAAAAGAAGUUUCAAUGAUAUUAUUGAUAAAGAUUACAAUAUAUCUUACUAUCAGACGGAAUUGAAUCUAUGGGGUCACACACAAAAGAAAAUUGAUUUAGGAUUGUGUAAUUGGGCUUAUGUAGUCCUAAUUGGGUUAGAAUUUAUAAAAUCCUAUUGGGUUUAGAAAUCCCAUGCUAGCACAUGGUUAAAUCCAAAUUCUUUUGAGAUUUGAAAUUUCUAUUGGAUAGGGAUUGGACCAAGUCAAAUGCAUGCAAAAGGGGCACCAAGAUUUGAGCUCCCCAUCUGAUAUUUGACAUGGAUUAAGAACAAAGGGGUGCACGCUCCAUCUGGAUAAGGAUGAAGGGAUGCCAAAAGUUGGCGCACCCUUAUCUUGUGCAUGAAGAAGAGAGAAAGGAGAUGGGGCACAUGCCCCAUCUGGUUUUUGUGUGAGAAAAAUGGAGGAGGUGGCGUCCAUCAGAUGAGCAUACUAAAAUGGAUAGGAACCAAGAGUCCUUUUGGGUUAAGGCAUUGAAUAAGUUAAAGCCUUAAACCAUUUGGAGUUCUUUGGUUCUAUUUAAACCCUUGAGAGAUGAGAUCAAAACCUAGAAAACCCUAGAGAACUAGAGAAAAGCCCACGCCUCACUCUCUUGCCUCACACCCUCCCUCUCUUUCUCCCUCAUGCCUCAUGCCCAAAGGUGUUGGGCAUCCCCUCAUCUCAUGCCUAAGUGUUGGGUGUCCUCCAUCUUCCACAUGCUCAAGGAGUUGGGCAUUCCAUCUCCACACCAAGAGAAAGAGUGCAUGUUGAUUUUUCUUAGAGAAGAAAGAUCAAUUUCAAAAGGAGCAUCCUAGAUCAUUCCUGUGGAUACCUACACAGGUUGGAUGCAUAUGCGGCUCUUCAGAAAAUCUAAGAAGAAGAUAUCCACGAUCAUCGAACUACGGUAAAGAUCUACCUGCACUAAGGUAAAGAUAUGAUCUUCAUGGUUAUUUUUAUAUCUUGAUCUUAAGGAUAUGAUAGAUCUAGCUUUAUGAGAUGUGAUCUCAAAGAUGCAUGCUAGAUUAGAUCUCUUCUGUUGCUAAAAUUUUUUGUUGAUCUUGCAUGUGUACCUUAGUUUUUUCCUUCAUAUAGGUC
rnacentral:lncRNA from 1 species